GCGGCGGCGUAAUACUUGCAAGUCGCGCGGACAGUCUCAGGAGCUUGCUCCCUGAUGUUAGCGGCGGACGGGUGAGUAACACGUGGGUAACCUGCCUGUAAGACUGGGAUAACUCCGGGAAACCGGGGCUAAUACCGGAUGGUUGUUUGAACCGCAUGGUUCAGACAUAAAAGGUGGCUUCGGCUACCACUUACAGAUGGACCCGCGGCGCAUUAGCUAGUUGGUGAGGUAACGGCUCACCAAGGCGACGAUGCGUAGCCGACCUGAGAGGGUGAUCGGCCACACUGGGACUGAGACACGGCCCAGACUCCUACGGGAGGCAGCAGUAGGGAAUCUUCCGCAAUGGACGAAAGUCUGACGGAGCAACGCCGCGUGAGUGAUGAAGGUUUUCGGAUCGUAAAGCUCUGUUGUUAGGGAAGAACAAGUGCCGUUCAAAUAGGGCGGCACCUUGACGGUACCUAACCAGAAAGCCACGGCUAACUACGUGCCAGCAGCCGCGGUAAUACGUAGGUGGCAAGCGUUGUCCGGAAUUAUUGGGCGUAAAGGGCUCGCAGGCGGUUUCUUAAGUCUGAUGUGAAAGCCCCCGGCUCAACCGGGGAGGGUCAUUGGAAACUGGGGAACUUGAGUGCAGAAGAGGAGAGUGGAAUUCCACGUGUAGCGGUGAAAUGCGUAGAGAUGUGGAGGAACACCAGUGGCGAAGGCGACUCUCUGGUCUGUAACUGACGCUGAGGAGCGACGUUCUGACA
rnacentral:rRNA from 1 species